ACGAGUUAUAUAGAGACUUAUAGAGGUGGUUGUUUUCUUUGUUACAUUGAGAGGGGGGAAAAAUCAGACCUAAAACUCUUACAAAAUCAAAUCCAUAAGCAUCUGCUAUUAACAACCUAUUAAAUUUAGAAAAAAAACUCUAUUUUUCUGUUUCUACUACACAUUUUCUUGAAUUGCCGCUAACACUACAAAGUCGGCCAAAUGAUGCGUAUUUGUAGGGUGCGUAUUAUAGAGGGGAUAUAUGGAGGGAUGUUUUUGUCGGACACGCAGGGAGGCCAUCGAAUAGCUUUAUUAAAUAAGUCUAAAAAAUAAAUAUAUUCAAUUAAUUUUAGAGGGUUUUUUUUCAUAUAUACUCUCCAAAAUAUUUAAAAUUAUAUGAAUAUUUUCAUAAAAUUACUAUUUGUAUGUAUAUCUUCAUAAAUUACUUAUUUUACAUGUAUAUUCUUUUUUUUUCUUUUUUAUAUGUGUAUCCAUACUAUCUAAUGCUGCUAAAAAAAUAAACGAUUUAAAUUUAAAAUAACUGAAAUAUUCUUACAGAUAGAUGUAACAAAAAAAAGCUUUAUAAGGAUACACAUGCAAAUGCAAGUUU
rnacentral:lncRNA from 1 species